rnacentral:rRNA from 1 species
UACAGAGGGUGCGAGCGUUGUCCGGAAUCACUGGGCGUAAAGGGCGCGUAGGCGGCCUGCUAAGUAGAGGGUGAAAUCCUGCGGCUCAACCGCAGGGCUGCCUUCUAAACUGUCAGGCUGGAGCACGGUAGAGGCAGAUGGAAUUCCCGGUGUAGCGGUGGAAUGCGUAGAGAUCGGGAAGAACACCGGUGGCGAAGGCGGGUCUCUGGGCAAUUCCUGACGCUGAGGCGCGAAAGCGUGGGGAGCAAACGGG